rnacentral:pre_miRNA from 1 species
GAGACAUCCCUAUGGAGCAAGACUUGCCUCAGUGGGGCUUUGGUGCUCACUGGGUCUUUGUCUUGAGUGUGUCUCU